rfam:Hordeum vulgare subsp. vulgare, WGS project CAJW01000000 data, contig: morex_contig_136083
AUACUACUCCCUCCGUCCCAAANNNNUUGUCUUAGCUUUGUCUAGAAAUGAAUGUAUCUAAAUACUAAAACUUGACUAUAUACAUUCGUAUCUAAACAAAUCUAAGACAANNAUUUUGGGACAGAGGGAGUAUAAG